rnacentral:lncRNA from 1 species
GAUCGGGACAACCUGACUUGGCGGGACAGGGAGGGAGCUGGGCGCCGGGACAAGAAGCUGCGGCGUCCAGAUGAGAUCGAGGCAGGGGCGACCGAACCAAGCGGGAGCUGGACGCCAAGAUCGAGGCAGGCGGUGUAUGCAGGGAGACGAGAUUGGAUCGAAGCACGAGUUGCGCGUGCGAAAAAGACCUAAUGCUCUAAUACCAUGUUAGGAAUAAGCAACUUAUAUUCCCAUGAGGCCAUAGGCCGAUAUAUAUAUACAUGUACAGGUGAUGGACUAUAUGCAGGAAAACCCCUUAUAUAUUGGGAUAAAUACAAAAGGGUACAUGACUU